rnacentral:rRNA from 1 species
UACGUAGGGCGCAAGCGUUAUCCGGAAUUAUUGGGCGUAAAGAGCUCGUAGGCGGUUUGUCGCGUCUGGCGUGAAAGUCCGGGGCUCAACUCCGGAUCUGCGGUGGGUACGGGCAGACUAGAGUGAUGUAGGGGAGACUGGAAUUCCUGGUGUAGCGGUGAAAUGCGCAGAUAUCAGGAGGAACACCGAUGGCGAAGGCAGGUCUCUGGGCAUUACCUGACGCUGAGGCGCGAAAGCGUGGGGAGCGAACAGG